rnacentral:rRNA from 1 species
GACGAACGCUGGCGGCGUGCUUAACACAUGCAAGUCGAACGGUCCUGUUUUUGAAGCGCUUCGGCGUGGAGGGAGCGGGUUAGUGGCGCACGGGGUGAGUAAUGCGCGAGGACCUGCCCGCGGGAGGGGGGACAGCAGUUGGAAACGGCUGGUGAUACCCCGUAAGCCGGGAGGUAAAAGGGCGGAGACGCCCGCCUGCGGAUGGACUCGCGUCCUAUCAGCUAGUUGGUGAGGCAACGGCUCACCAAGGCGACGACGGGUAGCCGGCCUGAGAGGGUGUCCGGCCACACUGGAACUGAGACACGGUCCAGACUCCUACGGGAGGCAGCAGUGGGGAAUUUUGGGCAAUGGGGGAGACCCUGACCCAGCGACGCCGCGUGAGGGACGAAGGCCCUUGGGUCGUAAACCUCUUUUGCAGGGGAAGAAGAAGAUGACGGUACCUUGCGAACAAGUCCCGGCUAACUACGUGCCAGCAGCCGCGUAAUCACGAGAGUA